rnacentral:rRNA from 1 species
UUAAAUUUAUUUAUUUAUUUUUUAUUUAUUUUUUUAUUUUAGUAUUUAUGAAUUUUAUUUAUUUAUUUUACUGAAGAGGCAAAUUAAUUAUAAUUCAUAUAUAAUUAUAUAGUACCUUUUGUAUCAGGGUGAAUUUAUUAACAUAUUUAUAUUAUUAUCCCGAAAAUAGGUUAUUUAGAUUAAUAUUUUUUUCUUGUUGAAUUAAGAUUUUAAAUAUUUUUUUGGUAGUAAUAUGUUAUUCGCUUCUUUUUAUAUCUGGUUAUCUAAGUUUUCAAUUUAAUUGACUAUUAAUGGUUUUGAUAGUAUAAUAUUUGGGAUAAGCUUGAUUUUUUCUUACAUUUAUUUAUUCUUUAUUUUUAUUAUUAUUUAAAUCUUAAUUUUAGUUCUUAAUAGAUUUAAAUUUUUAUUUUUUAUUUAUUUUUUUUUAUGUUCUUAUUAGAUUAAUAUACUUAAUAUUAUUUUAUUUUUAAUAAUUAUUUAAUUAGUAUAAUUUUUAUUUUAUUUUAAAUGAACUCGACAAUUAAUAUUCCCAACUGUUUAACAAAAACAUUUUUUUUAGUUUUAUUUUAAAGAUAUAUUCUGCCCUAUGAUGAUUUAAAUGGCUGCAGUAUUUUGACUGUGCAAAGGUAGCAUAAUAAUUAGUCAUUUAAUUGUUGACUUGUAUGAAUGAAUGAAUGAGGUAUAAUUUUUAUUAACUUAAUUAUUAUAAUUUUAUUUUUAAGUAAAAAAGCUUAUUUGAUUUUUAGGGACGAAAAGACCCUAGAGAACUUUAUUAAUUUUUAAUUUAUUUUAUAUAGUUUUUUAUUCAAUUAAAUUUUAUAAAUUUUUUUGGUUGGGGUGACAGUUAAAUUUAACUUUAAUUAUUUUUUUCAUUUUUUAUGUUUUUAUUGAUCCUAUAAUUUAGAUUAUAAGUUUAAGUUACCUUAGGGAUAACAGCGUAAUUUUAAUGGAAAGUUCAUAUUUAUAUUAAAGUUUGCGACCUCGAUGUUGAAUUAAGAUAAAUGAAAGGGGCAGGUUCUUUUUUUUUAAGUCUGUUCGACUUUUAUAUUCUUACAUGAUUUGAGUUCAAACCGGCGUAAGCCAGGUUGGUUUCUAUCUUAAAAUUAAUUAUCUUUUUUAGUACGAAAGGACCAAAGAGUUCAAUUAUAUUGUUUUAUUUGAUU